CCUCCAUCAAUAACAAUAAAGCCAUCAUCAUCAUGCUUGAUUUCUAAUCUGAAAGCCUUCCUUUAAAGAAGUAGAAACAUCAUUUGGAACAGACCCAGUAAACACAAGGAAAGUCCUUGUCAGAGGUGAUACAAUCUUUUUUUUUUAAACCCUUACCUUCCGUCUUGGAGUCAAUACUGUAUAUUGGCUCCAAGACAGAAGGGUGGUAAGGGCUAGGCAAUGGGGGUCAAGUGACUUACCCAGGGUCACACAGCUGGGAAGUCUGUGAGGUCAGAUUUGAACCUAGGACCUCCCAUCUCUAGGCCUGGCUCUCAAUCCACUGAGCUACCCAGCUGCCCCCAGAGGUGAUACAAUCUUGAGGAGUCCUGAGUUUGAGUUGGAGGCUGGUGAAGAAUCUGCUAACUGGACCUGAGACCUUGUACCUGGCACAAGGAAGGAGAGCAACUCGUUGGCCACAGGCAGACCCAAAAUGGAACUCCAAUAAAGAGGAAGAUUAUUUAAAACUAUG
rnacentral:lncRNA from 1 species